AAAUAUCCAUAUCUACGGAUAUGAACGUAGAUAACAAAUUUAUCCCCGGUAUUAGUCCGAAUCGGGCGAGUUUUAUGGAAAUUCGGGUACAAAGUGUAACGUGAAAACAACGUAUUUUUCAUUAUCUAAAAAAGUUUUAUUGAAAUUUGGAAAUUUUACAUAUUUUUUACGGGGUGUAGGGUACUACCUUUGGUAGAACCCUACAGGUAGUCAAAUGUAAGACGUUUUUAACACGAAGACAGAGAAAC
rnacentral:lncRNA from 1 species